rnacentral:rRNA from 1 species
AGAGUUUGAUCAUGGCUCAGAAUGAACGCUGGCGGCACGCUUAACACAUGCAAGUCGAACGGGAUCUUCGGAUCUAGUGGCAGACGGGUGAGUAACGCGUGGGAACCUGCCCUUUAGUAGAGAACAACUUGAGGAAACUUGAGCUAAUACUUUAUACGCCCUUCGGGGGAAAGCUUUAUGCGCUAUUGGAUGGGCCCGCGUUAGAUUAGUUUGUUGGUGAGGUAACGGCUCACCAAGACUUCGAUCUAUAGCUGGUCUGAGAGGAUGAUCAGCCACACUGGGACUGAGACACGGCCCAGACUCCUACGGGAGGCAGCAGUGGGGAAUAUUGGACAAUGGGGGCAACCCUGAUCCAGCGAUGCCGCGUGAGUGAUGAAGGCCUUAGGGUUGUAAAGCUCUUUCGUCAGGGAAGAUAAUGACGGUACCUGAAGAAGAAGAUCCGGCUAACUCCGUGCCAGCAGCCGCGGUAAUACGGAGGGAUCUAGCGUUAUUCGGAAUUACUGGGCGUAAAGCGAGCGUAGGCGGAUUUGUAAGUUGGAGGUGAAAUCCCAGAGCUUAACUCUGGAACUGCCUUCAAAACUACAUUUCUUGAGUUUGGUAGAGGAGAGUGGAAUUCCUAGUGUAGAGGUGAAAUUCGUAGAUAUUAGGAGGAACACCAGUGGCGAAGGCGACUCUCUGGGCCAAUACUGACGCUGAGGUUCGAAAGCAUGGGUAGCGAACAGGAUUAGAUACCCUGGUAGUCCAUGCAGUAAACGAUGAGUGCUAGAUGUUGGAAACAUUAGUUUUCAGUAUCGCAGUUAACGCGUUAAGCACUCCGCCUGGGAAGUACGGCCGCAAGGCUAAAACUCAAAUGAAUUGACGGGGACCCGCACAAGCGGUGGAUCAUGUGGUUUAAUUCGAAGAUACGCGAAGAACCUUACCGGCCCUUGACAUACCAAUCGCGGACUUAAGAGAUUAAGUUCUUCACUUCGGGUGGAUUGGAUACAGGUGCUGCAUGGCUGUCGUCAGCUCGUGUCGUGAGAUGUU